rnacentral:rRNA from 1 species
CCUACGGGAGGCAGCAGUGAGGAAUAUUGGUCAAUGGACGAGAGUCUGAACCAGCCAAGUAGCGUGAAGGAUGACUGCCCUAUGGGUUGUAAACUUCUUUUAUAUGGGAAUAAAAUGUUCCACGUGUGGGAUUUUGUAUGUACCAUAUGAAUAAGGAUCGGCUAACUCCGUGCCAGCAGCCGCGGUAAUACGGAGGAUCCGAGCGUUAUCCGGAUUUAUUGGGUUUAAAGGGAGCGUAGGUGGAUUGUUAAGUAAGUUGUGAAAGUUUGCGGCUCAACCGUAAAAUUGCAGUUGAAACUAGCAGUCUUGAGUACAGUAGAGGUGGGCGGAAUUCGUGGUGUAGCGGUGAAAUGCUUAGAUAUCACGAAGAACACCGAUUGCGAAGGCAGUUCACUGGACUGCAACUGACACUGAGGCUCGAAAGUGUGGGUAUCAAACAGGAUUAGAUACCCUGGUAGUC